UACGAAGGGGGCUAGCGUUGCUCGGAAUGACUGGGCGUAAAGGGCGCGCAGGUGGUGCGGUAAGGCGGCCGUGAAAUCUCCCGGCUCAACUGGGAGGGUGCGGUGGCGACUGCCGGACUAGAGGCACUCAGAGGCCGGUGGAAUUCCCGGUGUAGUGGUGAAAUGCGUAGAGAUCGGGAGGAACACCAGUGGCGAAGGCGGCCGGCUGGGGGUAGCCUGACGCUGAGGCGCGACAGCGUGGGGAGCGAACCGG
rnacentral:rRNA from 1 species